UAAGCUAUACUGUUCAAAGGAUGUGUUUGUUUUUAAGGACUUGUAUGUGCUAUAUCUUACCAUUUAAAAAAAAGAAUGAGAAAGAGGUAUUCAACAAAAACUUUUCUUAAGCAUGAUUAUGGUUGGUCAUAUCCUGUGCCAUCCCUGGAUGGACCCCGCUCAGAAGUCACUUUCUUACAAGGCCUUCGGGACCACUCAGACUAUACCAGCCCAACCUCAUCACUUUCAUUUCUUCGUAGCACUUCUCACCACACAACAUCGUGAUCAUUCACGUUUUACUUGGUAAUAGUCUAUCUCCUCCAUGGAGGAAAAAAGGAGAAUGGGAACUGAAGAAGUAGAUACAGAGGAGAUAAACAACUACUUCCAUAAUUUCUCUUUUCUGAGGGAGAAUAGAAAUGUAGCAGGAGAUGGACAAGGAGCCAAGGGAGAUCCUUUUCCUCUUCUUUUUUUAAGAUGAAUCCUGAUAAGACAUAGGAAAGCCUGGGAACCACUAUCUCCUGCAAUCUUCACCCAAGUAAGGGUCCAUUUCACAGGAACCACGUGCCCUGCUGAUUAACAACUCGGGCCACAGCAAGAGGUGGAUCUGGCCUCCAACCCCCUCUCCAUGACCAGCUGACUCUGGCCAGGAAGGACUCCGAGGAAGUCAACUUCUCUUCUAUGUGACAGUUACCUCCAAAUUGAGUUCCAAAUUCUGCAGAGCUGUUGAUCACACCGGGAGGCUGUUGGGGGAACUCAGCCUCCCCGAGUCCCUCUCAGAGCCUCUACUUACUGCUGGAAACCUCUUCCCAAGGGACGUCUCUCAUCUAAAGUCGUUUCUAUGAAGUCCAGAGAAUCUUCCUCAGGGGGAGCAACUUCUCCAUCCAGUGAAACAGAGGCUGCUGAUCCCAUAUUCCCAGUAUAAGAUCCCCAUACGUGACCCUCUGCCUUACGUGCAUGUGUCAGCCAUCAUUCAGCCAGCCAGCUUUAAGGGCAUGCUUGCCAAGCUACAUAGGCACUAAAGGGAGUGCAAAGGAAAUAUGAGGUCUGGGCCUUAAGGACCUAAGGACACACGAUAAAGACACUCAAUAGCUUACGUGACCUCAGACAAAUCACUUCACCAUUCUAACCUUCAGUUUCCUCAGUGUGAAACAGGGAUAGUAAUAACUCCCAAUGCGAGAGUUAUUGUGAGAAUUUAGUGAGAUGAUGCUAGCUGUUAUUAUAGAAGAUACUCACACACAGACACCCUUCUUCCUUGUUUUCAGAACCCCAAUUUUGUUCAAGAAAGCACUGUGCCUGCCCCAGACUCUGAAUUAAAAUUGGUAAUGAUAUGGUCACAAUAAUCCUAUUCCUCUGUUAGAUACUGACUUUCCCAGCUUCCGUUGUGCCUGGGAAUGUCUAUUUGACCUUGUUCUGGCCCAUGAGAGUUAAGAGAAGU